AGCUCCAAUAGCGUAUAUUAAAGUUGUUGUGGUUAAAAAGCUCGUAGUUGGAUUUCGGCGGGUAGUGGUUGGUUUUAAUUGAUUCUACUCUGUCUUUUUUACCCGUGUGCUUUGCCAGGAUUUUACGGGUGAACCUUAACAAUUGUCCCUUGGAACUGGCAGGUUUACUUUGAAAAAAUUAGAGUGCUCAAAGCAAGCUUACUGCUUGAAUAGUUGCGCAUGGAAUAAUAGAAUAGGAAGUCGUUUCUAUUUUGUUGGUUUUCGGAAAUCGACUUAAUGAUUAAUAGGGAUAGUCGGGGGCAUUCUUAUUCAAACGACAGAGGUGAAAUUCUUGGACCGUUUGAAGACGAACUAAGGCGAAAGCAUUUGCCAAGAAUGUUUUCA
rnacentral:rRNA from 1 species